GGGGUAUAGGGCAAGCUUCAGCAGACUAGUUUUUGUCCCAUGAUUAAGCUAUGGCUGAUGUCCUUGGUGAUGGUGGAAACUCCUCGCUCACUAUCUCUGAAGGUCCUAUUGUCUCUGAGCGCAGGCUUAACCAGGAAGUAGCGCUGAACUUAAAAGAAGAUCAUGAAGUAGAAGUUGGUGUACUAAAAGAAAGUGUUGACUUACCAGAAGAAAAGCUUCCAAUUUCUGACAGCCCUCCUGAUACUCAAGAAAUUCAUGAGAGGUACUGAACUUGAAAGCCUUAGGAAUUUCAUGGUUU
rnacentral:lncRNA from 1 species